rnacentral:ncRNA from 1 species
UAUAAACCAAUGAGGUGGAGAUCAAGAUUAUCGUGCCCGCACAGAGAGUCAUCGUUGCUGAGAGUAUGGCCGAACGCAGGUAAUUAAAUGGACCACCGAGGGCUUUGCCGAAAUUAACGUCAGUUGAGAGUACGGAAAGACGUGCGACAUACGUCAGUUGUCAGGGAAAUGUUAGUUUCCUAUGGAGUAGGAGUGUACGCGUGAUUUAAUCACUAAAUUGGCGAACACUCAAUUAAGGUGGCACCGCGGUUAUCAAACCGUCCUUAAC